GGUCAGUCGGGACUACCCCGCUGAGUUUAAGCAUAUCAAAAGGUCGGAAGGAA
rnacentral:rRNA from 1 species